rnacentral:rRNA from 1 species
GAUGAACGCUAGCUACAGGCUUAACACAUGCAAGUCGCGGGGCAGCAUGGGGGUUGCUUGCAAUCCCCGAUGGCGACCGGCGCACGGGUGAGUAACGCGUAUCCAACCUGCCCUUCACCACGGGAUAACCCGGCGAAAGUCGGACUAAUACCGUGUGUUGUCCAUUGACGGCAUCCGAUUUGGACGAAAGGCUUGGCGGUGAGGGAUGGGGAUGCGUCCGAUUAGCCAGACGGCGGGGUAACGGCCCACCGUGGCUACGAUCGGUAGGGGUUCUGAGAGGAAGGUCCCCCACACUGGAACUGAGACACGGUCCAGACUCCUACGGGAGGCAGCAGUGAGGAAUAUUGGUCAAUGGGCGUAAGCCUGAACCAGCCAAGUAGCGUGCAGGAUGACGGCCCUAUGGGUUGUAAACUGCUUUUAUGCGGGGAUAAAGUGGCCCACGUGUGGGCUUUUGCAGGUACCGCAUGAAUAAGGACCGGCUAAUUCCGUG